rnacentral:tmRNA from 1 species
GGGGGCGACACGGCUUCGACGGGUCUGGUGAACGUGGGGCUGCGUGCCGAGGUCCGGGGACCUCGCUAAUCCUCCCGGAAAAACCAACAAGUGCCAACGACAACUUGGCUCUGGCC